UACGGAGGGUGCGAGCGUUGUUCGGAAUCACUGGGCGUAAAGGGCGUGUAGGCGGUCCGCUAAGUCUGAUGUGAAAGCCCGGGGCUCACCCCCGGAAGUGCAUUGGAAACUGGUGGACUAGAGUCCCGGAGAGGAGGGUGGAAUUCCUGGUGUAGCGGUGAAAUGCGUAGAUAUCAGGAGGAACACCGGUGGCGAAGGCGGCCCUCUGGACGGUGACUGACGCUAAGACGCGAAAGCGUGGGGAGCAAACAGG
rnacentral:rRNA from 1 species